GCCUCAUAAGGAAUGUAGACAAGACAAAAAGUACAUAAAUUAAAGACUAACUUGUUUGGUUAGAUAAAGCGAUAAAACCAAGUAACGUCAUUUCUACGACUUGCGACUAUUGCUUGCGUGUUGUUGCUUAAAAGCUUAUCUACUAUCUUCCAUGCAUGCAUGUGUGGUUGGUUGGUGGGGUAAUUGUAUCACAUGUAAAACGCAAUUACUCAUUGCCAUCGCAGCACAGCACAACACAGCAAUAAGGUGAUGAAGGAAUAGUGAAAAAUAGAAAAAUACAGAACGACGAAACGAGGAACGAAUAUAGGGAGGCGCUACAUACUCGUGCAUUGAAUGAGACACACACACACACUCCUACAAAGAAUACAAUGAGUUCAAAAGAGAACGAGAGAGAUGGCCUUACAAAAGACGUUUUUCUUCAUCUCUCAUACGCGGGCAUCAAGUAACACCACACAUAGAUAUGAGGAGACACUGCAGUGUAAACGAUCAUGAGUUAUGUAGUUAAUUGUGUUACAAAGGUUGCCACUGUUAUUGAAAUCGAAAAAAAACCUAUACAAUCAACCAGCCAGUCAGUCAGCAUCCACAUAAUUAAUGAUUGACAUUUAAAUGACACUUGGGGUAUGAUUUAAAUAAAUAUGUGAAGUUGUGUUUUGUAGCUUUUUCAUUCAUCAUCUUUCACAAUGCAAUAAUUAAUUUCAGGCCCCCGAGGAAAAUUUCAUAAUUUCUUUUGUAGCUAGCACUUUCAUUUGGAAAAAGAGAAAAUAUUGGCAGUAUUAUCUAUAUAUAUUGUAACACACAAAAACAACGAAUACAGCAACCGAUCGCUUUGUAGAAGUUUUGUGGGCAAAGAAAAGCCAACAAAAUUUCACACAAACUCCUAUUUACUGAGGGACACAACACACACACACAAACACAAAAUCAACCGCUCGAUCAACCCGCCGCGCCAAACAUCCGACCAACUUCGCUCGUACGAUGAACAUGAAAUAAA